GAUGAACGCUGGCGGCGUGCCUAAUACAUGCAAGUCGAGCGAACAGACGAGGAGCUUGCUCCUCUGACGUUAGCGGCGGACGGGUGAGUAACACGUGGAUAACCUACCUAUAAGACUGGGAUAACUUCGGGAAACCGGAGCUAAUACCGGAUAAUAUAUUGAACCGCAUGGUUCAAUAGUGAAAGACGGUUUUGCUGUCACUUAUAGAUGGAUCCGCGCCGCAUUAGCUAGUUGGUAAGGUAACGGCUUACCAAGGCGACGAUGCGUAGCCGACCUGAGAGGGUGAUCGGCCACACUGGAACUGAGACACGGUCCAGACUCCUAAGGGAGGCAGCAGUAGGGAAUCUUCCGCAAUGGGCGAAAGCCUGACGGAGCAACGCCGCGUGAGUGAUGAAGGUCUUCGGAUCGUAAAACUCUGUUAUUAGGGAAGAACAAAUGUGUAAGUAACUAUGCACGUCUUGACGGUACCUAAUCAGAAAGCCACGGCUAACUACGUG
rnacentral:rRNA from 1 species